GAAUCAGCGAUGAAGAGGAAGAGUAUAUUAGGAUGCCAUACCAGAGAGUGGGCCAGCGGUGGAAGGUCUGCAUGGAAGUACUAAUAGAAGGUAGCCUUGGAGCUGUCUGCCUGAACAGAUAAGUAGGGUAGACCGGGAUAUCCCGUUAUCAUGAGAAAGCGAGCCGGCAUGUAAAAAGCACGUGCAGGCUAACAAAGGUGGUACCGCGAACAAACUCCUUCGUCCUUUGG
rnacentral:ncRNA from 1 species